GACGAACGCUGGCGGCGUGCAUAACACAUGCAAGUGGGGCGACGAAUCAACCUUCGGGUUGAGGCUAAGCCGCGAACGGGUGAGUAACACGUGGGCAACCUGCCCCGUCGAGUGGGAUAGCCCGAGGAAACUCGGAUUAAUACCGCGUAAGCUGAUCAACCGCCGGGUUGAUCAAGAAAGGAAGCUUCGGCCUCCGCGAUGGGAUGGGCCUGCGGCCGAUUAGCUGGUUGGUGGGGUAAUGGCCUACCAA
rnacentral:rRNA from 1 species